rfam:Polysphondylium pallidum PN500 unplaced genomic scaffold PPL_contig20, whole genome shotgun sequence.
GAGACAAUAGUGUAGAGGUAACAUAGACGGUUCGGAUCCGUCUGUCCUGAGUUCAAUUCUCAGUUGUCUCG